rnacentral:lncRNA from 10 species
CCAAACAAGGUGAUGAGUCCAGCACAAGCUGUGAGGGCUCCCUGUCUCCCUUGAAGGAAAUGCUCCAGGCCUGAGGCACAAUUGUAUCAGACACUGCAAGGUUCAAGCAAGCUGUUCAUGGCUGCCUUUCUCAGAAUGAGUUCUCACUCCAUUGAUGCACAAAGGAGCUGGCGUUUAAAGGAGCCUUACAUCUCUUGCUUCCUCUCUCUCCAUGUGCCCCACCUGCCCGCUCCCUUCAUGUUCCACCAUGAAUAAAAGCUCCCCGAGGCCAAGCCAGAAACCAAGCAGAUGCUGAUGCCAAGCUUGUACAGCCUACAGAACCAUAAGCCAAAUAAAC